rnacentral:rRNA from 1 species
GCACAUAACCAUAUUACCCUGAACUUGCCUGAUCUUGUCCCAUUUCAGAAGUUAAGCAGGGGGCUUGUUAGUAAUUGGAUGGGAGAAUGUCCAGUCAGAAAGUCUGAUGCC